GCGCUACAAAACCAGACCGGAUGUGACCAUCGUAAAGCGGGAGAAGAGAAGCUGCCUCUCUUUUUCGCCUGUUUUUCUCUUUUGUCUCUUUUAUAUGGCUUGUUGCCAAAAUUUAGUUUCUCUCAUAACUUAAUUUUGUACGCCACAGGUUCAGAACUGAUCUCCUGCCCUGGGGGCUAUGGACCAGGACCAGAACCUGAGAUGAUGCUGCCAGGUAACCAGUCACCUGUCGACCCAAUCCUCUUGACGGCAGCGGUGACAUCGUGCAGGUAAAUGUUUCCCUGAUCUGUCUGGCUGUUUUCUCUCUCUACUAAUCUCAUGGAUAAACCAGAGUUAAGUUUAAAUGAGAUUUUGGUAUUUUAAUUAUCAGCAGUUUGACAUAAUGUAUUCUAACUUUAAGUUGAUUUUAAUAAAAAAAAAAUUAAUGGAA